AACUUGGAGUCUGGGAUAGCGUACAAAGGCUGGCUAAAAAAAGAUUUGGGUUAAUCUUGUGCGUUGCUACUUGUUGGCCUCUACAAGGGUAAAAAAAAAAUUCUAUAUCGAGCACCAUAGUACUCGUCAUCAUAAAAAAAUAUGCCCAAUUGGACGCAUAGCACUAUAUUCAUAGUGUGUGGAUGGGUGUCAUUUGCUAUGUGGUUACUUGUUCAGGUAACCUUUCUGUAUAUGGUCUAAUCAGAUGGAGAGCUUGGCUUAACAUCAAUGAGGAAGUGACUAACCCAGCUUACUGAGAGUUUUUCUGGAGACACCAAAGUUUUCCUUCCUGUCAUGGCAUCUGAUCUUAAUCCAGUUCUCCUCAACACAUAUGGAGUCAUGGAUAAUCACGUAAAAUUCAACGACCACUAGAGGGAUUCUGCUGCUUGCUUGACUAAUCAAACCAACUGAUAUCCACCAUUAAACCUACUUCUGUAACAAUAUUUCCUCUACAAAGACCAAAUCAUGAACCCAUCAUUUCAUGCUUGAUUGGUGAAAACAGUCGGAACCACCUAUUGCAAUUUAAUCCUACUAAAAUUUAGUAAGACUUGGUCAUUUUAGCUGCACUUUCAGAGUUCAGACCUAUUUCCCAAACCAUUGGACCUCUAAGAACCUAUUGCUUCUCCUUCCACUGCAAACCCUGUUGUUUCCUCUGCAAAUUCACCAUUUGUGAGCUUUCUGUCUACUAGUGAUGUCUCUUUGAUUAUUUUAUGGCCAACAUUUACUAUUAACUUGUAAACGAUACUUGAAUGGGAUGCAAGAAGUUAAAUGAUCACAAAAACUACAUUGUGGACCUCUGAAACGCAGUGAGCGGUACAAGAACCUUUGGAACGCAGUGAGCUGUACAAGAACCUCUGCAACAUAUGAACGAAGAAAUUGCUUGAAGACCCUGAUUCUCUGGCUACACUACUAUUUUCAAGAUGCUGUAAGGAAACAUGCAAGAUUGCUGACAUCCCAAAGCUUUCUAUGGAAUGAUAAUGCUGACAAGGAAGGUUGCUUUCAGGAAGGUCAAGGACGAUCAAUGAAUGGCACUCAAGGCGUUCCCUGGGCAAGCCAAGAGAUUCACCCUGCAUAGAGAUAGGUCAAAAGCAAAAGACUAAAGACAAGGGUCCCAGCUGAAGCGAUUAUAGUACAGAGGCAAAUGUGGGUUCCAAUCUUUCUUCUUGUACGAGACUUGGCUGGAGUAGGAAGAAAAGGGCUAGUUUGUCGACCACAAAAUAGAAAGAUCUAUGCCUUCCUCACUAGCUCUCAAAGUGUCUUCCUUGAAGGUAAUAAGGCUGGUUUACUUCUCAACUUACUGCGGGUGAAAGAACAACUGAUGAAGCCAGGGGUAGAGAAGCUCAUCGACAUUCUCUCUAGCACAGAAGCAUAGUUAUGAGGAGUUCCGACGGCUUUCGAGGGAGAGUCUGACAAAUCAUCAACACUGCAUUGUCAAAUACGGCUCUGAAUUUGGAGUUAGAUUUAUUUAUUUUAUUAAUUUAUUUGUGGAUUAGUUCUUUGAACCACGACAUGCUGUUUCGUGAUGAUACUCAUUGAAGUUGCAGUUAGAAAUCAGAAGACAUCUGCAGUGUGAUUAUAUGGAGGAAGACUGGCUAGAAAAUAUUAUGGUUUGUAUGUUUUAAUAAUUGAGCUUCUUCUUUAUACUA